AGAAUCGCAAAUCAGUUUUGCACUGCAAAUGCUUUUCAGUUCUGGUAAUCUAAUCAAUACCAGAGAUCUUAACUUGGGGAGUUUGAGAUCGGUGCUGCUUUCUUCACCCAUAACCCCUUCUUCAUCUGAUCUUGUUCCAUCUAUUAUCUCCUCCAUUUUCUCACGUCUAUCAACUUUAAUAUCUUCCAGGUUUACGAGGCUUGGCAGCAAGACAAGAGGGAACAACUUCUUCAUGCUCUUACAAUCACAACAACUAAACUCUUUAAGACCAGAAAAUAUUCCACUAUAAGAUGGAGAUGGUGGUGGAGCAGAGCAGAACCAAGAAAAUGAAACCAAGCUCUCCAUGCUAUUGCAACCACUAAUUUUGAUAGCCUCCAGUUCAGUUGCAUUCUUUAUUAGAGACCAAAAAUCACAUAAACUUGUUGCAUCAUCACAAUUAUCAAUGCCUAGUUGUUGAAUGUCCUUCGAGAACAUGACCUGAAAAUCUUUGUCUCUGUCGCUACUCCAGUUACCCAAAACAAUUGUUUUCCUUCUGAAAUCACCAUGAUAAUAAUUAUAAUACUUAUCCAGUAGUCCUACAUGAAUUUGGUAUGUGGUUAGUGAUUUGGUUUCAUCCCGAGUUUUGAGAUACUCCACGUAGUCUAAGUAACCUUCAAAAUGGCAUACCAAACUUUCCAACUUCCUCAAGCAUCCCACUUCCUUUCCUUUAACUGUUAUCGGAGUAGGCAGUCCUUUUCUAUUAUCUUUGAUAGUAGGAUGCAUCCACUCCUCCAAUACAAAGACUUGCAGGUGAGAGAGCUUAGGUAACAACCCACUAGGAAACUCCUUUUCACCACAUCCAUUCAUUAUAAGAUACCUCAGGUUGCAUAGACAUUCCAUGCCUUGAGGCAUCUUUUCGAGUGCCCAAGUCCAAGAGAGAUCUAACCUCUUCAGUGCCCUGAGCUUUUCUAAUGACGGUACAUGCCUUAACAUUUCACAACUAAUGAGCAGUAAUGCAGUGAGACUCACCAAUUCAGAGACAGAAUCAGGUAGUUUUGUGAUACCUGUAAAAGACAGAUCAAGAACCUUGAGCCCAUGCAACUGCUCAAAAAAUGAAUCUGCAAUAAAUUGCAACUCUGCGUUUCUGCAUAGCAAUAGAGUUGAAAGACUGGGACACCUCAGUGAAUGCGUGGAAGGAAUUUCUUUAAUGUGGUUAUGCAUCAGUGAAACUCUAGUAAGAUUCUCUGUCCACUCCUCUGCACCCGGCAAUUCUCUUAACUGUGCUUGUGCUUUAAAGUUAUCUUCCAGUAUUUGGAUGGCCAUAUCUCUAAUCAAGUCAUGCAUCUUGACACAUCUAAAAUGACUGCCGAAUUUAACUUUUUCCAAAAGGCAGGCACUUUCAAGUUUAUCAAGCAUCGAGUGGCCUUUGUCAAAUUCUGCCUUCCUACUCAUGCCUUUUAUCACUCCCUCAUCAAUCAAAUAAGCUAUCAAAUGCUCUCUAGGGAUCUCGAAGUCUUCCGGGAAUAAUGCACAGUACAAGAAACAUUGUUGCAGUGCUGACUCCUUUAAGUGCAUAUAACUAAAUCUUAAUAUUUUGAAUACCUUCUCAUCGAUGUCCUCCUGCCAAAGUCUUGGUUCCUCUAAAGCAUUCCUCCACUCGUGUAUGUCCUCCACCCCCUUCAUGGUUCUAGCAAUUGUUAUAAUUCCCAGAGGCAAACCAGCACAUUCCCUUGCCACAGAUUUUGCAAUUUGUUCCACUUCCGGAGAAAGUGCUACGUCGUGUCCAAGUCUCUCAAUAAACAAAGCCCAAGCUUCUUCCUUCGAAAUAGGCUUCACUUUGAUUAUAUGUUGGGUACCCAUCUGCUGACAAACAUUUUCUAAUCGUGUUGUAAGAAUCAGCUUGCAUCCCUUAACAUCUUGGAUAGGAACUCCCACCUUGCGUAGCUCAAUAGCCUUCCACAAAUCAUCUAAAAUCAAAACCCAUUUCUGUUUCUUCGUUAAUUCUUCUGACAAUUUGGAAGCUCUAUACAGCUCCUCAUCUUCAUUAGAAAGAUCUAAACGAAUCUGUCUGGCGAUACUGUUUUGCAAUUUAUUAAUGCUGGUAUCUUGUGAAACAGUAAUCCAGUAAACAUGGCAGAAAGUGUCUGGUCUUUCUAGAAGCUGAAUAUAAAUGUGUUUCACCAAUGUCGUCUUUCCCACUCCGCCCAUCCCAUAGAUGCCAAUAGUUGAAACUUCAUCGUGCAUCAACCAAGACCAGAUAGUCUUCUUAUGGUCUUCGAAUGCUUGACCCACCAGCUUUGUCGUUGGUGCUGCGUCUCCUGGAGUCUUAUUUGUGUUGCCUGUAAGCCCUCCAGAAGAGCUAGCUUCUUGAACGUCUUCAGGCACACUUCUUCCAGGUGGGUGACCCAUUCAGAUUAUUUUAAAUUAAAAAACAAUUCAAACUAACUAGUUUUAGUUUGAUUUAAAUUUCUUUUAGUUUGAUUCAAUUAUUUACUAGUUUGUUUUUUUUUUUUUUUUUUUCUGGUUUGGUAUGGUUUAAUUCUAUUUUUUCAGUUCUAUACUUAUAAAAUCAAAAUCAAACCGAACUGGUUAUUUAUUUAUUUUUUUUAAUUAUAAUUAGUUUAAUUAUUUUUUUUUCACGGUUUGAUUUUUUAAUUUUUUAAUUUAAUUGGUUUUUUAAUUUUUUUAUCCAUCCCUACCUGCUGCGAACAUUAAGAGAAAAAAGAUAUAAGGAGGUUGAUUUUUUUUGUGGCUAAGGUAGGCAGAUCCUUUCGAUUAUUGUACGUCAGGAUCGAAAGCGGCACUCAACUAAGGGACUUCGGGCCAGAAGAAAGCAAUGUUUACUGACGAGAUGAGACAAAAGAGAUCCCUCUCUUUACUUUUACUUUUGCUUUUAAUCUUUUUUUUCUUUUUAUUUCUCAUGUAACCUUAGAUUUUUAUGUCAAACUAGUAAAAAAAAAUUUGUGAGGACAACAAUUGAACUAGAAAUUGCAGAAAGAUGCUUUCCUUUAGUCAUUAGCUUGCUUGGAAUGGAAGAAAUGCCAGAUUUCCCAAUAUUCAAAGUACAAGUGUGUAAUGUUUUGUAAAAUUAAAAAAUCAAACUAAAAAUAUCAUAAAUUCAUGAUUAUACUGAAAUUUUGACCAUAAUUAAUUUUUAAUUCUGUCUAAAAUAUCUCAUUAUACCCUUCAUUCAUUUAUACCCUCUAUUUAAGCCUUCAAGAAUUUUAUUGUCUUUUUCUAUCUCUUUUAAUUCAAAACAUCACAGGUUGUUUUUUCUUUUCGAGUUUUUUUUAAUAUAUAUCUUUUGUAUUUAUAUAAGUACGGAAACUUCGAAGAACCUUGGAUAAUACUGGUAAUUAAAAGUUCUGACCCCAAUGCGGCAAUGCGUCCUUGGAAUUUCCCAAGACAAUCAAUAUCUUGUGGUCAAACAAACAACAAAUCAGUUGAAGUGAUGGGGAGUCCACAGCUCAAAAGCCAAACGGAUCUGCAAGUUACAGUGUGCCAGAUGGGAAGCAAUAUCAGAGCCCUCUCUAACAAGGAAGGAGAUAGUUUUCUUAUCCAUGCUACUGCAGACCCCAGUACUGAAGCAUGUUAUUUCUAGCCAAGAGAUUUUCUUUGGAGUUUCCAUCUUCAUUAAUUCAUUAUACUCGAGGACUUAAAGCAGUGUAAUGUGAACUCGUUGAAUAGUUAGUGUGAAUAAAUAAAGAAGAAAGUGACAUGAAGUUUGCAUGGUGGUUUCCAUGAGAGUAAUCAUUGCGUACAGGAUAAAGAAAGCACCUCUGUUUUAUUUCUUUAGAGUAAAAAAACAUAAAGUUGCUUGCAAAUUGCAAUGACUUUAAUAGCUAGUCUUCCUCUAAUAAGCCUAAUUUCUUAUUGAUUCCCUAAUUUCCCUCACCAAAUCUCUUAAACCUUUCUCAUGAUCUGUGCUUCCUUAUCAUUCAAUUCUAAACCUCCCAAAAUUUUCAGAUAAAGGCUAGUUAAAUUCACGCGAUCAAACUAAUAAGAAUCAGACUGUAUGAAGAAACCCUUAUUCAGGCAAUGUAAAAAGGUUUGAAACUUUUUAAGGAAGCUAAUGGAAAUUCCAUUGGUUGUUAGAACCUUAAUAUUCACAACUCGAAUAUCUCGAUUCAUUGAAGAUUACAAGCAACUCAAACACAUAGUUUAAAACUGAUGGUAAGAUUCGGAAUACUGAGGCUAGAGUCCAUGGAAGGCAGAAUUUAAAACCUUUCCUUUGGUAAUCAUCCUUGGAUAAUACUGGCAUUUAAAAGUCCCGCCUCCAAUGCAUCCUUAGAAUUUUCCAUCAGGUGAAUGUAUUCCCAUCAGCUUAAAAAUCAAUCUCUGCCUUUGACUCCCUAUACUUGCAUAUCCAAACCUGGAGGAAGAGGAGGAGGCGGAAGAGUUAGGGGGCAAAGAAAACGACACUGCCUUCUUGCUCUUCGAGGAUGCGGGGUUUCUUGGUGCCUGGUUUCCAGAAUUGCUGUGACAUAUUUUUUUAUUUUUGAAAACAAUAAAUAAAUAAAUGUAAAUCAGUUCAAUAUAAUUCUUUCCCAAUAUUACAACUAAUAAUGAUUUUUCUAAAUAUAUUUAGCAAGAAAAUAUGUAAUAAGGCGAUUGUUAUGCAAUUCUGAUCCAUCAUAAGGAGAUUCAGAUUCCUAAAUCAGACUUUCGAAAUAACCAUCUUUCGAAACACAUGUUGAAUCUAGUGGAUAAAAAAUUAUCUUUAACAAAAAAAAACCUAAAAAUAAAAUCAUAUAUAAAUUCUUCAUUAUUAUUGGUUUUGUAAAUUUUCAUUUGUUUCAAAUAGUAGGGACCCAAUUGAUGAGUUUUGUUUUACCUUGCUCUUCUUGAUGAUGUCUUGGCUGACGUUGUUUUUUCAUAUUAGCUGGAAAUCCACCUGGAAUCUAAUAUAGUAUUAAGAGUUUGUUUUGGUAAAGUAAUGCAAGUGAUUUUUAAAAGCGUUUUUUUAAUUAAUAUUAAAAUAAUUAUUUUAGAUUAUUUAUUAUUUAUUUUUGAUAUUAGUAUUAUUUUAGAUUAUUUAUUAUUUAUUUUUGAUAUUAGUAUAUCAACAUUAUUAAAAAUAAAUCUAACAAAAACAAUUAAUUUUUUACAUUACUAAUCAAAAUAAGAAUUUGGAAGCUGGAAUAAGAAAACGCAAGAAAAAAGAAUUUUUAUUUGUGUUUGGCUUGCAUAUGUGAACUAUAUAUGCAACAAGUAUUUACGAGUUAAUUUGUGAAAUUAGGGAUAAAUUAACUGCAAUGUAUUAUUAAAAUGGAUCUAUUUAUUAAAGAUAAGAAAUCAUCUCGAUAUAUAACAAAUUUGUUAAAAAUUUAGAAUUUGUUGUAAUUAACUAAGUUCUAAAACCAUCUACUUUGGUGUAAUUUCAUGUGAUUAUCCACAAGAUUAUCAUUUUAUAGCUAACAAUGUCAGCCCACAAGAAUUCCAGCAGCACUUGUAAUGUUGAUGAAGAUUUUAUUUAGGUGCUGUGAACUGGUAGGAAGCAUAAGAAAUUAAGGGUACCUUCAGUCCAACUUCUGUGCACUAAUUUGGCCUUAGCAUCGUCACCUGCUGCACCCAUGGCUACGUGCAGUGGGUAGAAGUGGUCUGGCCAAGGGUGAGCCAUUUUUGGAUGUGGUGCCUUCGACUCAUAGUGAUCCACAUCUUCAUGUCUGCUAAAAAAUGAAGAUAAAAAGAGAAGACACCAAAGCAUUGAUGCAUGGAAGUUGUCCUUUGAGUUUUUGUGUGGUUUUGCAAGAUUUCUCACUCAAUUUCUCCUCCCUCACUUCCCACUCUCUUUGGCCGGCCACGCCUCUAGAAUUCUGGAGAAUUCUUUCCCUAUUUAUGGGUAUAAUUUCCAGUAUUUUCACAUUAACCCCAACAUUUCUUUUUAUUUAUAUUAACAAAGAUAUAAAAUGCUUCUUUAAAACAUUUUCUUCAUUCUUCUCCUACUUACACUUGAACCAUAAUUUGAAGCGGAGUUUGGCCACCACGCGCCGCAGCUGUUGCAGUGGCUUUCCACUUAUUCUUGAGGGUAUUUUUGUUUCCCUUCAUUUUUUUAUAUCAUAUUUUGCAUUGCUCCUUAAUGUUACGAGUGUUGUUUACUCGCUGGACACGAGGAAAACAUGUCUAUAACUUUUUAAUUAAAAAAUAAUAAAUACAUUAUAAAAAUACUAAAACGUCUUUAUAAUUUUUUUAAUUACAUGAAAUAUCCAUAUAAAAAUAUUAAAAUACCUCUAAAAGCAAAUCCCUUUUUUUGUCUUUUCUGAAGCUAAGAGUGUCACUUUCAAAAGCUAAAAGAUCUGGGAUCGUGUCACUGUUCAUGUGAACAUUUAUUUUUUUCGCAAAUAUUUUUCUACUUUUCUCUGCACUUUCCCUCAUAUUGUGUCACUGUGUGCAUUGUAGUGUUUUGUCACUAUUCAUAUAAAUUCAUAUAAACAAUGCUCUUUUUUUUGCAUAUACUUUUGCUUUUUCUUCACUUUCUUUCUCUGCAUUGUUCAUAUGACUAGUUUUUUUUUCUCUUCAAAAUAAUAUUAUUAACAAAACUAAUCACAUGACAACGCAUUUUAUCUAUUGUUCUAUCCAUAUUGUUUUAGCUUUUAUUUUUCAAUUACAAUUUUUUUUUCUUUUUAUGUUUUAGUCUUGAAUGUUGAAUGUUGAAUGUUGAGAGAUGCGAGAAAUUAUCUUCAAAAAUAUUAAGAAGAGAGAGUGCUAGAAUGAAGAUAUUUGACUAAAAAAAUAUUAAUCUUUAUCAAUAAAUUUGUUUUUUAGAAAGUUCAAUCAAGAUGAUGAUGCCUUCUAACCAUGCCGAAACAAAUAGAUUGAUCAAGUUCUUAAAUGUUUUUGGAUUCAUUUAAUUUUUAUUUUUUUAGAGAGAUUAAAGGUUAUUUAAGAGUUGAAAAUGAGUUUAUUAAGGUUUUUAGGGUUUUUUAAAGGUGUUUUCAGGUAAAAACAAGUUAAAAAUUGAGUUUUUGAAAUCCAAAAACUCAAAUUUUGAUUUUCUAAUUAGUGGAGGUGGCUGCAAAAUAGUAUAGAGAAAAACAUUCACAUCAUAUCAUAUGAUUCAUGUAAAAAAUCAAGAAGGUGAAUAAUUAUGUUGUAAAAUUACAGUUCUAGCAUCAACUAUUUAUGUAUCUUCUAUGGAUUGUGACAGCUUCCGAGUUGACAAAGAUCCUGAGAAUUAACCAAAAUUUUCUACAUGACAUUAAGUUUCAAAUAUUAGGGAUCCAAUUGAUGAAAACAUUAGUUUGGACACCUAAUUGACAAUUAGUGUAUAAGUUGGGGACUUAAAAAGAGUCAACCUCUCUCUACAUAAAACCUAUGGUUCAUCCACAGCUAUUGCUUAUAAAGAAAAGAAAAGAUAUAAUUGCUGUUUUAAUCAUUGGGGUUAAGCAUACUCCAUCUCUAUCACAUUUCAACAUUACAACCAUACUACAUCUCUUAUCAUAUUUACUGAAAUUUAUUUAAUUCAUCUAGCAAAUACAGAAUAUUUAGUUAAAAAAAUAAUACAAAUUCAUGUCUACAAGAACUCCAGCUGCAAUUGUACUGUUGAUGAAGAUUUUAUUUACGUGCUGUGAACUGGUAGGAAGCAUAAGAAAGGGUGCCAUUGUCCCAGCUAUGGUGCACUAGCUUCGCCUUGGCAUUUUCACCCGCUGCCCCCAUGGCCACAUGCAAAGGGUAAAAGUGGUCUGGCCAAGGAUGAGCCAUUUUUCCAUAUGGUGCUCUGGAGUCGUAGUGAUUCACGUCUUCAUAUCUGCGCAAAAAGAGAGAGACAACCAUGGAGAACAACUGAGGAAACUGAUAGCUAUCCUUGAUUAGUGUAAUCGAGUGGAAAUGUAGAAUACAUUUUGAUGUACAAAUAAUAGAGUAAAUUGAAAGAAUCUGGAGAAUAUAUUCAACAGAGAACAUCCCCGUGAAAGUGAUCAAGUUAAGCACACUGAUAAGCAACAGCAUUGUCCGCUGCCUGGUGCCUUUUGCUUUCCUCAACAAGCAUCAAAUGUUACCAUAAAACCAGUUCUAUCAGCAAUUGUAACACAUGUUCAAAGUUGUUACUGGCAGAAGCAUCAAGAGAGCAAAAUUGAUCGUUAUCUUGAAAAAGAUACGCCUAAAUCCUAAUAAAAAAGAAUGCAAUCACUUUUUAUCAUUAAAAGUGGAGUUGCUCCGAAGAAAAAAUUGUGAUUGUUUUGAAUUCACAACUACUCAAAUGAAACAAAAACACAAUUUCUAAUCAAUCACACAUUCUGAAAACCAAGAAUACCUAGAACUAGAUAUUCGAAAACUCCCAAGAAAAGUUUUUUAGAAUGAAAGUUCUCCAGAAAGUGAUAAUUACAAAAGUCACAACCCUGCCGAAUCCAUUUUCCAUACCACCCUCCCCUAUGAACAUAUGAGUUCAUCAAUUCAUCGAAGACUACAUCAAUUACAGGAUGAAUAGAUAUGAUGCCCUGAUUUGCAGGUAUCUAGUAUAUUACAAGCAUAAGACUUUUCCAAAGAGAAAACAUACCUUCCUUCAAGAAGAGCAUUUUUGAGCCAGGUAUCAAACUGCAAAGCCCAUGAAGGAACAGGACUGCCACUGGGUUGCAUGGUCCCCAAGUUGUGAGUGGUAGCUCCAGAUCCCAUGAUGAGGAUACCUUCCUCCCUAAGGGGGGCCAAUGCCUUCCCCAAGUUAUAAUGGUAAGUUCCAUCUCUAUCAGUCUGAACAGAGAGCUGGCACACUGGAAUGUCAGCCUCAGGAUACAUGAACAUCAGAGGAACCCAUGUGCCAUGGUCAACUCCUCGUGUUUUAUCUUCAUGAACACGCUUGAAGCCAUUUUCCAUGAGCAGUUCCUUCACCCUCUUUGCCAAUAGUGGAGCACCUGGUGGUGUAUAUUUGAGCUGGAAGAAGGGGAAAAUAUUGGAAACAUAAAUAAAAAGAUCCAAUUAACAAUAAAAAGACAAGUUUCAACUUGAAAACGCUAGCUAAUUAAUUGUUCAAUGUAAAUGUAAGAAACUUUGUUUGCCUUUUAAUCAUCACCAAGAUGAAAUUCUCCAAUGUAAGAAACUUUCAACAGAUCAAUAACUCUCCGCUGCAGGAGAAAGCAACAGCUAACAACAGCCCUAAGGUUUAGAACUCUGUAUAUUAUAGGGAAUAUCUUUAACAGUGCAAUCACAGUUUUAACAAUUUGCAGGUGUCUAGUAUAUUACAAUAAAAAACUUAUUCUUUUUCCUGAAUAUCUCAUCAUAUCUAUCACUCUUAUAAGAGUUUAUCAAGCUACAAUUAGAACAAAAUUUCACCAACCCAGAUAAGAAAAAACCUUUUAAUAAAAAAAAACAAGACUUUCAAAACAUCUCCACAUGUAUAAAACAUAAAAGAAGCAAUUGGCCCACACCAAAGAACUAAAGACAUUCUUCUACCUAAAUAUCAGAUCAUAAUCUCUCAAAACUUAAUCAACCUGAAAACUCACCAACCCUGAUAAGAAAAACCAUUGAGAAAUCAAAAAACAGAAAACUUUGAGAGAAAAAUAUAUCAAAAGUACCUUAUACAUGGAUUUGGGGAAGCCAUAGAAGUCAUAAAUGGUGUCAUUGCGAUUAACAACAUUAACAGUUGGUUCUUUGGUAUCCCAAUGGCCAGAAAUAACAAGAAUGGCUUUAGGUCUUUCUUUGAAAAUUUGUUGCCAUGUCUUCAAGAAUUUCCUCGCUGGUAUGCUUUCAUCGAUCGCCAUCAUUGGUGACCCAUGGGAGAUAUAAACCGUAUCCAUCAAACGCCUUUUGCAAAUUGAAAAAAAUCUGCACUUUUGAUUCAAUGAAUGAAGCAAACGCAUUAAUAGCAACAAGAAAAAUAUUCUCUUCUUCUUCUAUGGUACUAUAUAUAUAUAUAUAGAAAUUUCGACAGGGUCUCGCAAAGUGAUGAGUUUGGUUUGACCUUGAUCUUCUUGAUGAUGUCUUGGCUGACGUUGUUUUUGUCAAAUUGAUCCUUGUGUGUGGUAAUGAUUUUCAUAUUUGGUCGGCAAUGUAUUUUUUUUAUUUAUUAAGACAGUAAAGUCUGUCUUGUAUCUAAUAUAUGUAUUAAAAGUUUGUUGGGUUUUUAAAGUAGUUUUUAAUUGAAAAUUUAAUAAAUUUUUAAUUUUUUUUAUAUUAGUAUACAAAAAUUAUUAAAAAAAUCUAAAACAAAUAUCAAUUUAAUAUUUUUUCAAAUAAAAAAUAAUUUAAAAAUAUGUUUAAUAAAAAAAAAAUAUUUUCAAAAAGUCUGUUUAAAAUUAUGAUCCAAUUUUUCCCUAACCAUAAAUUUAAAAUAUUUAAUUAAAUCUUGUCUACCAUAAUUUUGUAUGGAUAUUACUAAAAAUUUUGUUUUGCAAUAUAAGAAAAGCUAGUUUUAUAUAUAUAUAUAUAUAUAUAUAUAUAUAUAUAUAUUUGCUUCUUUUUUUUAAAUGGCAACCAAAAAAUCCUGGGCAUGUCCUUAUUUAACAUAGAACUAAAAGAUAUAAGUGUUUUAUUAUCAAUUGUUCAGUGUAAUUCAUAAUAAAACUAAUUCAUAAUAAAACGACUAAUUUGCUAGAUAUAAAUAAUUAGAGUAUAUAUAGGGGUAAAAUAAUAUUUUUAUAUUUUGUUACACAUCGUAAUUACCCCCAUUUUUUUUUUUUUAAAGCCUAUCUCUUAGGGGCAUGCUUUUAAACUCUACCACUGGACGGUCUUGUAAUAUCUGUUUCUGAAAGAUGCAGAAAGACAUUGCAAAUAUUCUCGAAUUUUGCUUGCGAACCCUUUUACGGGACAUCAGUUUCAUAUUCGUAGUCCAUGUAAUCGCCAUUGUAGGUUCUUUCUAGCAGUUCCUCCAUGCGAUCAACAAUUUCUCAUAGCCUUUUCCACUAUAUUCCCUUAUUUACAAUCUUUAGACAUGGAGGAGAUCAUGACGGUGAAUGGAUUAUCUCGGUUCACCUGGUUGCUUGUUCCAGGAUUCAUUGAAUUUAGUUGCUUCAGAUGAACAAUAUUUUUUCUUGGCUCCAUAGCAAAGCUCAAAAUUAAGCGUUUAUUUGCUAGAUGUUUUGAGGAUGGAAUGCGUCAAGGUGAACAGCUUAGGCAAUCAAGAAGCAAUCAGGCCGGACACGCACGUUAAUCUAAAAAAAGAAAAAGCAACCAGGCCGGAAGAAUAAGCAUCAUUCUAUGUUCCAUCUGUGUUUUAGUCCUGUCAAUGUCAUUCAUCCCCUUUCUCCUUGCAGCACUAACUCGUGUUCUGUAUCAUACAGGCUUAUCAGCUGCAACAAGGUUCACGAGGAUUUCCUUAAAGAAGAGAGUAGCUAUAUGUAUAAACAGAGAAAUACAUUGGGACUUUUCCCUCCUCUGCAAAUUAUUUCAAGUUAAUAUAUAUGAUACAACAUUUACUAAUCGGAUUUUACUGAACUAAUUUGCAGAAGAUGGCCUGGUUCCCCGUACGAGUUUGUGGAAUCAGAACUGCAUGAUCCGUUUAUAGACAUGCUGUAAGUUUGGCUUGGAUUCUGCCAGAAAUGGUUUCUUGUAUUUUGUGUUGAUCAGAAAGAAGGUCCUAAACAGAAGUUUGACCUUCGAGCAUGCUCGCGACUUGAGACCUUGUAGGCCUAAGAGUUGGGGACGCAUUGGUGCAUAAGAGAGCGACAUUUAGUAUCACCAUACCCUCCAUUUAUUAUCACCAUAGCCUCCUCUGAAGAAUACUCUGACAAAGGGUAUCCUUAGCGUUUGGAUGCUCCCACUCCACUACUGACUCCCACCAUUCUUCUAGAUAUACUGUUAUUUCUUCAAGAGAAGGAGUAGAUGGCUGGCCAUUUUCAAGAUAUAUUGCCGUCCUCUUUAGCUUCUCACAUGUGUCUACUUCAAUUACUUCGAGAGAAUUGCAAAUCAGUUUUGCACUCCAAAUGCUUUUCAGUUCUUACAAUCCUUUCAAUACCAUAAAUACUAACUUUGGGAGUUUGAGUUCAGUGCUAGUGUUGGUGCUGCUUUCUUCACCCAUAACCCCUUCUUCAUCUGAUCUUGUUCCAUCAAUUAUCUCCUCCAUUUUCUCACAAUGAAUAAAUUUAAUCACUUCCAGGUUUAUGAGGUUUGGCAGCAAGAUAAGAGGGAACAACUUCUUCAUAUUAGAACAUCCAUCACAAUAGAAUUGUUCAAGACCAGAUAAUAUACCAUUGUAGGAUGGCAAUGGUAGUGGAGCAGAGCAGAACCAAGAGGAUUAAACCAAGCUCUCCAUGCUAUUGCAAUUCCAAAUCCAUAAAACCUCCAGUUCAGUUGCAUACUUUAUUAGAGAGGAAACAUCGCAUAAACUUGUUGCGUCAUUACAUUUAUCAAUGCUCAGUUGUUGAAUGUCCUUUGGAAACAUUACCUGAAAAUCUCCAUCUCUGUUUACACUCAAGUUACCUAAAACAAAUGUCUUACUUCUUUUAAUAAAAUAAUCAUUAUUCUGUAGUCCUACAACAAUUUCGUAUGUGCUUAUUGAUUGGGUCUCAUCCCAAGAUUUGAGAGACUCCUCGUAAUCAGAGUGACCUUCAAAAUGGCAUUCCAAACUUUCCAAUUUUUUCAAGCAUGCUACUUCCUUUCCUUUAACUGUUAUCUGAGCAUAUCUUCCAUCAAUUAACCCUUCCUCUAGUACAAAGACUUGCAGGUGAGAGAGUUUAGGUAGCAACCACUAAGAAACUCCUUUUCACCACAUCUAUUCAUUUUAAAAUACCUCAGGUUGUGUAGACAUUCUAUGCCUUGAGGCAUCUUUUCAAGUGUAGUACCAGAGAGAUCUAACCUGUUCAGUGCCCUUAGCUUUUCUAAUGAUGGUACAUGCCUUAACAUAUUACAACCAAUAAGCAAUAAUACAGUGAGACCAGAUUUCGUCAGGCUCGGAUCUAACCUGUUCAGUGCCCUUAGCUCGUCUAGGUGUCUUCAACCAAUAUUCAGAAACAGAAUUAGGCAAUUUUGUGAUAUUUGUACAAGACAGAUCAAGAACCUUGAGCCCAAGCAACUGCUCAAAAAAUGAAUCUGCUAUAAAUUACAACUCUGAAUUUUCACAUAACAAUAGAGUUGAAAGACCAGGACACCUUGGUGAAUGUCUGGAAGGAAUUUCUUCAAUUUGGUUAUGCAAAAGUGAAACUCUCAUAAGAUUCUCUGUCCGCUCCUCUACAUCUGACAUCCUUCACUUCAUUGUAAAUAAUGGAAGAUAAAAGACAUUUAAUUUUUGAACUAUAAAAGAAAUGCUUAUGAUGAAUGGAAGAAAUUAACUCAAAUAGAGCACGUGACAAGCAAUUGUUAUCCAUGUACUCGUACACAAGCUUUAAUUGGUUUCCUUCAACAAUGAAAAGCUUCAUCCUCAAACUUAUGGCUAAGAAUUCAUAAUUUGCUCUGCUUUCUUUGUUUUCUGUUCUACAUAUAAAACCUAAGCUACAGCUAUUUUUGACCUCUUGCUACAGCUAUUUUUCUACCGCAAACUUAUAGAGUGUAGUGAGGACAGAUGAGAGAAACCAUCAAACAUUCAGCUACCUUGUAAACAGAAUAAAAAACAACCUAGAGACAAAACCAAUGAGAAACUUCAAACAGUUAUCAUCUAUGAGGUUCUUGAAUUAGGUUUUUUUUUUUUUUAUGGAAACUUCUGAAACAUGAAAUCUUUGGGUUGCAGCAGAACUUCAAGUUGAAAAAUAAAUCUGGCGGAAAUCGACAUGCACAUUCUUCUUUAUUUCCAGAAGCCAUUGAGGAACAGAUCUAGUGAGUUUGUUUCCUGUCAAGUACGUUGACAAAUUAAAAGGGGUUUUCCAUAGCUCUUAAUUGCACUUCCAACUGAAAGCUUAAAGACAAUCAAAUCGUUUUCUAAGAUAAAAUUGAUUCAAACAGAAAAUCUUGUAUGAUUGCGCUGUGAGACAAUGAUGAGCCUGCGAGAGAAAGCCUAUCUGGCCCUUUCCAAGGCCAUUGAAGAGUAAUUGGAGUCCUUGAGAACAAGCCAUUUCACAGAGUUUCAUCUCAUAUUGUUUAGUGGUACACAAAACAUCAUGGAAACUCUCAAGAACAUUUCUUAAGAAAGCAAAUGAUAAUCAUAUUGACAAUGAUUGCUUUGAAAGGGAAUCAUUAGAGAGCCUCUGGAUGGAACCACUUACAAACAUUUCAGUUUUUCCAGCUCCCCAACAUAGUCUGGGACCUAUCCAAAUAUUAUGCAGUUCCUCAAAACCCUGCAUUUUUAAAAUCAUUGUACAAAUCAAAGGUCAAGAGCAUAAGCUUAAAAGGACAUAAGAUUAGAAGAACUCCAACUCACUAUGUUUUUAUGGAUUCCAUAUUACUCAAUGGUGGGUAAGAAGACCCUCUUCCUGUUAAGUCACUGAUCCUCCUUCAAGUAUCAUAUAGCAUAAAAGCAUGGUAUCAUAAGCAUAUUACAUAUGCAUAAAAACAGAAUUCAGAUAUUCUGUUUGCUUACUAAUCACUUAGUCUGGUCAAGGAAGCAAUGCUAGAAGGUACAGAUAUUCAGAUAUUCUGAACCAGUGUUCAUUUACCGAUGAAAGCAGGUAACCUCCCUGAUAAAUUAUUAUAUUCAUCCUCCUAAAAGGUGUCAAAGAAAUACAAACUCAGAGAGUUUUCUGGAAGUAUUAUUGUUUACCAUAAAAUUUAGAUAAAAAAAUGAAGAACAUACAAAUGAAAAACAGAAGAAUUGCAAUAACAUUAUUUCCACUGAAUUUGAUCCACGUGCAUGGUUGAAUUAUCAGCAUAGAAGAUUGAAAGAUCGAAACAAUCCGGGCAUGUUAAAUGUGAGACUUUUUGGCAUCAAAAUCAGCAACUUUCCUGUGGUAAGAGAGGCUGAUUGCAUAUCUGUUUUUUUUUUUUUUUAUCGUUUUUUGGUUCGUAGACCUGUGAUUCAAUUUAGAGACGCACAAAAAAAGAAAAAGUGUCUGCUUACAUAUCUGUCAGGUUGACCAACCUGGCAAGUUCUGCAGGCAACUUUCCUGUCAAUGCAUUGAGGAGAAAACACUGAAGAGAGAUGACAUUAAGCAUAAUAUUGAGUAAUAUCAGAGAAAAGAGAGAGGCAACGGGGACCAGCUUAGGCACCGCUCUCUCAGCCCAAUUACCACCAUGCUUUACGCUUUAGGGUUCUAAUUUGAAUUUUUUGGACUGAUUACAAGUAAUGCAAGGAAAAGAUAAUGUAUUAUUUUUUAGCUCAUUAUCAAACUUUGAAAUUUUAUUCAUCUUGGGAAUGAGUUCUAUAUAUAUAAUGUCACAACCAAAAAGAGGGUCUUGGUAGUAAUUGUCUAAUGAAUGCAAUUCUAUAUAUAUAUAUAUAUAUAUAUAUAUGAAUCCACGGGUAAAGGUAUUAACAAAUGUUCUGCAUUGAAUUGUUAGAAUUUAGAUUGGAUUAUAUUUAUUUUGAACUAUGAUAGCUUGAAAUAUUGUAAAUACAAACAAAACUCUACUAAAAUUUUGUUGUAAUCACAAUGGAAAAAAAAGGGACUAAUUGGUAGUAAUUGUCUAAUGAAUUGUUUCGAAAUCGCGUCUAACAAAAGAAAGGAAAAGACUCUGCCAUGAUAUUUUAUUUUUAUUUUUAUUUUAGGUAGUACCAGCUCGUCGCUUUUUGUGUAAUUGCAUGGUGUCGUUUUGCAUUUUGUUUAUGGACAGUCGUUGCUUGGGAUCAUCUGAGCCAUUUAUUAAUAAAGAAAAUAGGGAAGGGGCUCCACGGUGACUUUCAAAAUAUGAUGAUUCAUUUGAUUCACACCUAAUUUUGAGCCUAAAGGACACCAAGACACAAUUAACAGAAUUACAAGAAAAAAAAAAAAGAAGAAGCUCAUAAUGUAUACAAAGACACAAUUUAUUGUAGAUUAUAACAAUAAAAUAAUUAUUUCACCCUUCUAAAAACACCAACAACCUUCAUAUAAAAAAGGACUGGGUAGUAAUUUUGCUAACCUACACACAGAGCUUCAUAUAAAAAGGACUUGUAAAGCUGCUUCUUGAACGUCUUAAGGCACUUUACUACAAAUUGCAACACCACGCCCCCUGACUUGAGACAAAUGCCAUUUGAUCCUCGAAACGGAAGUAGCAGCAGCAAAAUUAAUUCGAUACUUUAUUAAUCUUCUUCAUGUUAUGCCGAUGCAAAAUCGCCAUAGUCAAUUUCCGAAGUAGCAAAUCAUCCUGCAUAACCAUUUCCAAACACCUAAACUUAAUUCGAUAUUUUAUUAUAUUUAUAUAAUCAAAGUAUAAAACCAGUAAGCACCUGAACUUAAUUCAAUAUUUUAUUAUAUUAAGGGCAGACUCAUAUCAUACCUGAUCAAACCUUACAAAGGGACGAAGGACAUCCUCCGCGUUAGGAUGCUCCCACUCCACUACUGACUCCCACCAUUUUUUUGAACUUGGAUAGAUGUCUCUGAGAGAAGGGGGAGGAGAUGGCUCGCCAUUUUCAAGCAAUGGAAGACAAAUUCCCAUCCUCUUCAGCUUCUCACAAUUCUUUACUAUUAUUGAUUGGAGAGAAUCGCAAAUCAGGUUUACACUGCAAAUGCUUUUCAGUUCUGGUAAUCUAAUCAAUAGCAGAGAUCUUAACUUGGGGAGUUUGAGAUCGGUGCUGCUUUCUUCACCCAUAACCCCUUCUUCAUCUGAUCUUGUUCCACCUAUUAUCUCCUCCAUUUUCUCACAGUUAUCAACUUGAAUGUAUUCCAGGUUUACGAGGCUUGGCAGCAAGACAAGAGGGAACAACUUCUUCAUGUUCUUACAAUCAUAACAACUAAACUCUUUA
rnacentral:lncRNA from 1 species